AGCAGCCGCGGUAAUUCCAGCUCCAAUAGCGUAUAUUAAAGUUGUUGCAGUUAAAAAGCUCGUAGUUGAAUUUCGGGGUUAGUAGGCUGAUCGUGCCACAGGUAUGCACUGGUCUUACUGAUUCCUCCUUCCUGAUGAACCGUAAUGCCAUUAAUUUGGUGUUGCGGGGAGUCUGGACUGUUACUUUGAAAAAAUUAGAGUGUUUAAAGCAGGCUAACGCUUGAAUACAUUAGCAUGGAAUAACGAAAUAGGACGUUCGAUCCUAUUUUGUUGGUUUCUAGGAUUGACGUAAUGAUUAAUAGGGAUAGUUGGGGGCAUUAGUAUUCAAUUGUCAGAGGUGAAAUUCUUGGAUUUAUUGAAGACUAACUACUGCGAAAGCAUUUGCCAAGGAUGUUUUCAUUAAUCAAGAACGAAAGUUAGGGGAUCGAAGACGAUCAGAUACCGUCGUAGUCUUAACCAUAAACUAUGCCGACUAGGGAUCGGAUGAUGUUAAUUUUUAAUGACUCAUUCGGCGCCUUAA
rnacentral:rRNA from 1 species